UACGUAGGAGGCAAGCGUUGUCCGGAAUUACUGGGCGUAAAGCGCGUGUAGGUGGUGGGACAAGUCUGCUGUGAAAGCGCCUGGCUUAACCGGGCGAGGUCGGCGGAAACUGUUCGACUCGAGGACGGUAGAGGGGGGUGGAAUUCCCGGUGUAGUGGUGAAAUGCGUAGAUAUCGGGAGGAACACCAGCGGCGAAGGCGGCCCUCUGGGCCUAUCCUGACGCUGAGACGCGAAGGCCAGGGUAGCGAACGGG
rnacentral:rRNA from 1 species